rnacentral:rRNA from 1 species
AGCGAACGCUAGCGGCGGGCCUAACACAUGCAAGUCGAGCGGAGAACUUCGGUUCUUAGCGGCGGACGGGUGAGUAACGCGUAGGUAAUGUGCCUUCUGGUGGGGAACAACCGUGCGAAAGCAUGGCUAAUACCGCAUAUGUCGAGAGAUGAAAGCCUUCGGGCGCCAGUAGAGCAGCCUGCGUCCCAUUAUUUAGUCCUAGUUGGUGAGGUAACGGCUCACCAAGGGUACGGUGGGUAGCUGGUCUGAGAGGAUGAUCAGCCACACUGGAACUGAGACACGGUCCAGACUCCUACGGGAGGCAGCAGUGGGGAAUAUUGCGCAAUGGGCGAAAGCCUGACGCAGCCACGCCGCGUGAGUGAUGAAGGCC